UCCCCUGAGAGCCAAAGGACUUCAGUAAAGAGAGAAUUUCCCCUGAGAGCCAAAGGACUUCAGUAAAGAGCCGGAGCCAGAAAGACAAACAGACGAGAGUUGGGAAUCGCCUUAACCUCAAUGAAGAUUGAGCCCAAUCUCAAACUUAAC